rnacentral:rRNA from 1 species
GACGGAAGGUGCAAGCGUUGCUCGGAAUCACUGGGCGUAAAGGGUGCGUAGGCGGCCGUGCAAGUCUGGCGUGAAAGCCCCGGGCUCAGCCCGGGAAGUGCGCUCGAAACUGCGCGGCUCGAGUGCCGGAGGGAGAGUGGAAGUUCCUGGUGGUAGCGGUGAAAUGCGUAGGAUAUCAGGAGGAACACCGGUGGUGUAGACGGCUAUCUGGACCGUAACUGACGCUGAGGCACGAAGCGUGGGUAGCAAACAGGA